UACUAGAAUAAGAAUGGAAGAAUUGAUCAAAUCUGUACUCCCGAGUGUUUCGUACUUUUGCUUCUCUCUCAAAGUCACGUCAUCUCUCUCAAAAUAGGUUUAGGUUGGCUUUUAUAUGAGCUGGGGUCAUUUUGGGGUCGAAAUAACCGAGUCCUAGUCGAAAUAGGACAUGUUCACAUUUUGAGCGUCCAGGGCAGCAUGGGGCGCUGGCCCUGGCGCUCAACUUUUCUUCAUUCUGUUUUGUGCGCCACAAGUAGCGUCCCACGCUGCGUGUGGCGCUCAACUGGGAAAUUUCUCCUUUUCUUCCUAUUUUCGCUUCAAUUCGAGCACUUUCGUUUCAAAUCGCUUCCGAAUGAUUCCUACACAUAGAAAUACCCCAAAUUAGCAUAAAACAUUAUAUUAUACAUCCAAAAUUUAUGGGGCAUGAGCAUAAUGUGAGGCAAUAUACAUCAAAAUAUGCAUACAUUAAGCCGAAUAUCAAUGAUAACGGGGUAAUGUUGAAUACCGAAUGAGUUGAGGCACUAAUAAAGCUCGUUGUUGCUAAAACAGACAUUGGGGGACUCCUCCCUUCUAUAUCACGCUAGCUGAGAACCUUCUCCAAUAUGGUAUCAUCAAAGUUAAACUUUAUAUUAACCUUGUUAACCUCAUCAUCAUCGGAUAUCAAAUACCCUUGAUAUUCGUUUCCGAAGAGCCAAUUCCAAUUCAGUUUUUCCCACGAUGUAAUUUGCUUAUUAAAACGCUUUCUUUCUUCUAGGGUUAAAACUUGAAAGAAUCCCAAAUUAUGGUGUAAAGAUAAUUCAUAGACUAACUCUAUUUCUCUCCGGGAGUUGGUUCCUAGAGUUAGAAUUCGACUUUUGUAAUAAUAAACAUAAAGCAAUUUGUAUUUUUCCGUGAAGAUCAAAUCCUAGAACGAAAUUAAAAUAAGGAACAUCCCAGCAACAAUUUAUUAGAGAGGAUGGCAGAGCCUUCGUCUCCCCUGUUGUGACAUUGUAUAAGUAGAGUUGAGACUUACGUUUACAACAAACAAGGCCAUUAAAAAGAUUUGAGCAGAUAUGGAUCCCUGAUCUUGUGUUUGAAUAAUAAUGAGGCGCCAGUUGCAAAGAAAAUUCCUUUUUUAGUUGUAAUCUUGGGAAAUUGGAUAAUAUGGAAGUGGCCAGUGGGUGGCAGAUAAUAUGGGAGAAUCCCCAAUUGAAACAAGAGGUGGGUGGCUGAGGGACGAGCAUGAGAACAAGCGAUGUGGGAUUUGAUAAAGCAGGAAUCAUGUCGUAUCAAAGUGUUUCAAGCUUUACGGACAGUGACGGAUCUAAGAUCAAGUUACUGACAAGGAAACAUAAAAAAAAAGAAGAUAAAACUAAACAAAAAAAGGAACAAAGAAAGUAUGUAAAAAAAGAACAAAAGAAGAAGAAAAUCUGUAUUGGAGAAUAUGAAGAAAAUAUCAGCGAGAAUGAAUAAUAAAAUAAGAAGCUCUAAGUUAAAACCAAUUAAAAGUAAAAGUCAGCAAACUAAUAGGAAAGACUAUAAAGAAAAUACAAAAAGGGAAAAGAAAAUUUUGUAAUGAAAAGAGGACGUGAGCUCUUAUCAAAGGUAGUGGGGGAAUCAAACCUGCAAGCUUGUCCAAGCAUGCACCGCACCUUCGAAUCAAUCUUCCAACCAAAGCAGCCAUCUAACCUUUUGAGUAAUGCGUGCCCCUGAAUUUAUAUACUGUAUUUAUGAGAAGUUUCUAUAUAAGCAUAUAAGGUUCGCAUCGAGGUUAUUGGGCGCUUGAGCACUCAAAACACUAUAUAUAGAUCCGUCUUUAUUUACAGAUACGCUUAAAUCGCACGAGAGACUUUGCGGGGAGCCAUAUCAGUAUCUCGAAUACUAUGUCAUCUCCAAGUUGAACCCUAAAACCAUGAUUCUGCUUCUUCUUCAUUGGUCGCCGUCUUAUUUGAGUACUUUUUGUUGAUAGUUUUGUGGUAGUGAUUGCAAGCCCACUCAAUUUUAUUUGAAUUUAUUCCAUGUUCCUGCUGGUGGAAGCUCAAGCUACUCCCCUCUUAGAGCUUGGCCAAGCUUCUGCCAAAAGUAAUUUUUUUUUUUGUAAAAAGAGUACUUUUUAAAAAAUAUAAUGUGUUUGACCAAAAUAAAAAAAUACUUUUGGCCAACAACAGAAGCAGUUUUUCUGCUUUUGGAAAGAAGUAGAAAAUUCUAGCUUCUUCCAAGAAGCAGAAUCAGAAGCAGAAAAUUAAUU
rnacentral:lncRNA from 1 species